rnacentral:rRNA from 1 species
CCCUUAGAUGUUCUGGGCCGCACGCGCGCUACACUGAUGCAUUCAACGAGUUUCUUCCUGGUCCGAGAGGAAUGGGUAACCUUUUGAAAGUGCAUCGUGAUAGGGAUAGACUAUUGCAAUUAUUGGUCUUCAACGAGGAAUUCCUAGUAGACGUAGUUCAUCAGACUGCAUCGAUUACGUCCCUGCCCUUUGUACACACCGCCCGUCGCACCUACCGAUUGAAUGGUCCGGUGAAGCCUCGGGAUUGUGGCGAGUUCCCUUUAUUGGGAGUUUGUCGCGAGAACUUGUCUAAACCUUAUCAUUUAGAGGAAGGUGAAGUCGUAACA